GCUAAUACAUGCAAGUCGAGCGAACUGAUUAGAAGCUUGCUUCUAUGACGUUAGCGGCGGACGGGUGAGUAACACGUGGGCAACCUGCCUGUAAGACUGGGAUAACUCCGGGAAACCGGAGCUAAUACCGGAUAACAUUUUUUCUUGCAUAAGAGAAAAUUGAAAGAUGGUUUCGGCUAUCACUUACAGAUGGGCCCGCGGUGCAUUAGCUAGUUGGUGAGGUAACGGCUCACCAAGGCAACGAUGCAUAGCCGACCUGAGAGGGUGAUCGGCCACACUGGGACUGAGACACGGCCCAGACUCCUACGGGAGGCAGCAGUAGGGAAUCUUCCGCAAUGGACGAAAGUCUGACGGAGCAACGCCGCGUGAGUGAUGAAGGCUUUCGGGUCGUAAAACUCUGUUGUUAGGGAAGAACAAGUACAAGAGUAACUGCUUGUACCUUGACGGUACCUAACCAGAAAGCCACGGCUAACUACGUGCCAGCAGCCGCGGUAAUACGUAGGUGGCAAGCGUUAUCCGGAAUUAUUGGGCGUAAAGCGCGCGCAGGCGGUUUCUUAAGUCUGAUGUGAAAGCCCACGGCUCAACCGUGGAGGGUCAUUGGAAACUGGGGAACUUGAGUGCAGAAGAGAAAAGCGGAAUUCCACGUGUAGCGGUGAAAUGCGUAGAGAUGUGGAAGGAACACCAGUGGCCGAACGCGGCUUUUUUGGUCUGUAACUGAC
rnacentral:rRNA from 2 species